AAAAACAAAUAUGUACAAGUAAAAAAAAAAAAACAACAAGACAGAUGGAAUGUCAUAAAACAACCCUGGAAUAUUUCUACCGAAUCCAAGAAAACUAAGAAAAUUUUAAUAAAAUAAUCAAAGAAAACUUACUCCUUUUGGGCAGCAUCCUUAGCAGCGAUGGUACGAACAACACCACGAUUCUGUAAAUCACCUAGAGCAGCUCGUUUUGUUACCUCAGUGGUGGUAAAGAAACCAGCCACCAGCGCACUCCUAGUUUGGGGGGCGCCAUUUUGUAUGGAAAUUGUUAUUGGAAAUAGGAAUACCGGCGGCAGCAGUUUAGAAAACUUUUGUUGUUGUUUUUGUUUAAACUAAAGGAGCCGCCAGCCAUCAUGGUUGGAAAAGAUUAGAGACAACACCACAACACACAAUUUGUUAGUUAUUGUUGUUGUUUGCGGAAGGCAAGGAGGGGGAAAAAUAAAAUGGGAAAUGUACCGUAAGUAUAAAAUAACAAUUUUGUUCAAGUUUUAUAUUUUUUAUACAAAAAGAGUCUCAGCUUCAUUAAACGGUACUUUUCCGCGCCGUUCUUUAAAACCAAGGCUCCCCUUAGUUUAACUGGAAAAUAUUUAAAGAAAAAUACUAAACAACAAAACUCACCUCGUCUACACGUUUUAAGACUGUGGUUCCAACCAUUUUGUUAGCGAUCUUUAUUUAAAUUUAAUAAAAUAUUAAUUAAUUAAACGAUAGGUUUCUUUGGUAAUUGAAAAAACCUUUUUCGUUAAUAAAAAAACACUUUUUCUUUUAAAACGUUA